UAUUAAAAAUUUCAUCUAUUUCUAUUGUUAAAAACUAACAAGACUAAUAGAAUAAUCAAACAAUGACACGUGGUGUGCCACGUGUAUCUCAUGCUGUCGUACAGGAACCAACUUUUAACAGUAGAAAUUGAUGAAAAUUUUAAUA
rfam:Gossypium raimondii Chr04_contig_32, whole genome shotgun sequence.